rnacentral:rRNA from 1 species
AUUGAACGCUGGCGGCAGGCCUAACACAUGCAAGUCGAGCGGAGCUCCCUACGGGUGCUUUAUGCCUAGGACUCUGCCUGCUUGUUGGGGAUACCGUCCGCCUACGGGCGCUAUUACCGCCCCCUAUCAGAUGAGCCUUGGUGGGAUUAGCUAGUUGGUGGGGUAAAGGACUACCAAGGCGACGACCCGUAACUGGUCUGAGAGGAUGAUCAGUCACACUGAAACUGAGACACGGUCCAGACUCCUACGGGAGGCAGCAGUGGGGAAUAUUGGACAAUGGGCGAAAGCCUGAUUCAGCCAUGCCGCGUGUGUGAAGAAGGUCUUCGGAUUGUAAAGCACUUUAAGUUGGGAGGCGGUAACAAGAGAAUAAGCACGGGCUAACUUCGUGCCAGCAGCCGCGGUAAUUG